ACGAACGCUGGCGGCAGGCUUAACACAUGCAAGUCGAGCGCCCCGCAAGGGGAGCGGCAGACGGGUGAGUAACGCGUGGGAAUCUACCGAGCCCUACGGAAUAACGCAUGGAAACGUGUGCUAAUACCGUAUACGCCCUACGGGGGAAAGAUUUAUCGGGGUUUGAUGAGCCCGCGUUGGAUUAGCUAGUUGGUGGGGUAAAGGCCUACCAAGGCGACGAUCCAGAGCUGGUCUGAGAGGAUGAUCAGCCACAUUGGGACUGAGACACGGCCCAAACUCCUACGGGAGGCAGCAGUGGGGAAUAUUGGACAAUGGGCGCAAGCCUGAUCCAGCCAUGCCGCGUGAGUGAUGAAGGUCUUAGGAUUGUAAAGCUCUUUCACCGGAGAAGAUAAUGACGGUACCUGACGAAUAAGUCCCGGCUAACUCCGU
rnacentral:rRNA from 1 species